GCGGGAAUGGCGGAAUUGGCAGACGCGCUAGAUUCAGGUUCUAGUGAACAGUACGUUCAUGCAGGUUCAAGUCCUGUUUCCCGCACCA
rnacentral:tRNA from 1 species